rnacentral:snoRNA from 1 species
CCCCUCUCAGGGUUGCACCUGGAGAGUUUCCACUACUCUACCAGUCUCAGCUAUGGGAGAGAGAAUCCAGCAGACACCUAUCCAUUCCAUUCCUAGCUUGGGCAGUGGCUAGUGAGUGGAAGUCAAUCUGCUACAAGU